rnacentral:ncRNA from 1 species
UGGCCCGGAAGGGGCAGCGGAUAAUAGGGAAACAGGUGAAAGGCCUGUACGAUCUCGUCACUGUAUGCAGGGAACUUGCCGUCUUUGUCAGAAAACGACAGUCACUGAGGAAACUUGGGAAGACGAUGGCAUGUGAUGAUCUGCGAGUCAGGAGACCUGCCGGUUGC